AAGCUCGUAGUUGAAAUUGUGUCCUGCGGUGUCGGUCUACCGAAUGCGGUACGACAGGCACGUCUGCGGGGCUUCUCGCCGGUGCGUCCACCGCCGGCGUGUGUCGGUCGGCCUCACGGUCGGCCGCGCACCGAGGCGGGCCGUCGCGGCUGUUUACUUUGAACAAAUUAGAGUGCUCAAAGCGGGCUAACACUUGCCUGAAUAUUGUACGCAUGGAAUAAUAGAAUAGGACCUCGGUUCUGUUUUGUUGGCUUUCUGAUACCAGAGGUAAUGAUUAAUAGGGACAACUGGGGGCAUUCGUAUUGCGACGUUAGAGGUGAAAUUCUUGGAUCGUCGCAAGACGGACUAAAGCGAAAGCAUUUGCCAAAGGUGUUUUCAUUAAUCAAGAACGAAAGUUAGAGGUUCGAAGGCGAUUAGAUACCGCUGUAGUUCUAACCAUAAAUGAUGCCAGCCAGCGAUCCGCCGAAGUUUCAUAAUUUUAACCCGGUGGGCAGCUCCCGGGAAACCAA
rnacentral:rRNA from 4 species